UAGCAUAUCAUAGCGGAGGAAAAGAAACCAACAGGGAUUGCCUUAGUAACGGCGAAGUGAAGCGGCAAUAGCUCAAAUUUGAAAUCUGGCGCUUGCGUCCGAGUUGUAAUUUGCAGAGGAUGAUUUUGGUUAGGUACCUUCCGAGUUCCUUGGAACAGGACGCCUUAGAGGGUGAGAGCCCCGUACGGUUGGAUGCCGAGCCUUUGUAAAUCUCCUUCGACGAGUCGAGUAGUUUGGGAAUGCUGCUCUAAAUGGGAGGUAAAUUUCUUCUAAAGCUAAAUACCGGCCAGAGACCGAUAGCGCACAAGUAGAGUGAUCGAAAGAUGAAAAGCACUUUGAAAAGAGGGUUAAAUAGCACGUGAAAUUGUUGAAAGGGAAGGAUUUAUGACCAGACUUUUUCUAGGAGGAUCAUCCGGUGUUCUCACCGGUGCACUUCUUCUAGUUUAGGCCAGCAUCGACUUUCGGCGGUGGAUAAAAGCUUUAGGAAUGUGGCUCCUCUCGGGGAGUGUUAUAGCCUAUUGUAUAAUACACUGCUGGGGGUCGAGGUACGCGCUUCUGCAAGGAUGCUGGCGUAAUGGUUAUCAAUCACCCGUCUUGAAACACGGACCAAGGAGUCGAACAUUUGUGCAAGUGUUUGGGUGUUAAACCCUCACGCGUAAUGAAAGUGAACGGAGGUGAGAGCCCUUACGGGUGCAUCAUCGACCGAUCCUGAUGUUUUCGGAUGGAUUUGAGUAAGAGCAUAACUGUUCGGACCCGAAAGAUGGUGAACUAUGCGUGGAUAGGGUGAAGCCAGAGGAAACUCUGGUGGAGGCUCGCAGCGGUUCUGACGUGCAAAUCGAUCGUCAAAUCUGCGCAUGGGGGGCGAAAGACUAAUCGAACCAUCUAGUAGCUGGUUACCGGCCGA
rnacentral:rRNA from 1 species